GCCCCAUUGGCCAAAAGGUUAAGGCAUCUGCCUCCUAAGUAGAAGACUGUGGGUUCGAGUCCCAUGUGGGGUG
rfam:Ascoidea rubescens DSM 1968 unplaced genomic scaffold ASCRTscaffold_17, whole genome shotgun sequence.